AGGAGACCACAGAGAGAGCCAGUUCCCUGCGUUCAGAGAACACUAGCCGCCUCCGGUCCCCGGUGGGUGGCUGUAUGUGUGGAAAUGAAACUGGGAGGAGGAGGGAGAGAGGGAAGAGCAGGCACGCACUUCGCGGCUGUCAUCCACCUGGCCUCUCUCGACCCGCCAGCCCACUCCCCACCGGGGAAACACAGCCCAUCUGACUCACCGGGAGGGCCGCACCGACCCCCUGGCAGGCUUAGCCUGGAGACUGACGCGGGGCGCCGGUUCUCCCGGGACCAGACCGAACCUGGGCACUACGGCUGGGGCUGGGUUGAUUUAUAUAUAAAUAAAGGCACAUUCGAUCCAA